GUCUUCUUAGUGCAGCCAGCAGUGUGUCAGUCUCAUAAUCUGAAGGUCCUGAGUUUGAGCCUCAGAGAAAGCA
rfam:Alligator sinensis unplaced genomic scaffold scaffold7_1, whole genome shotgun sequence